GCCUUCGUAGAUCAAGGUAGAUUGCUUCCGAUCCAUACGCUAGAUUCGCAUUUCUGUGGAAGAGACGUGGGUUCGACUCCCACCGAAGGCA